CACAUGCAUCACUUAGUGGUUUGAGAAGAGAGGAGUAACAUAGAGAAAAGGAAAGAAAAGAGUCCAGGAGAGGAAAAGAGGAAACUCAAGCUACAAAGGGAAUAAGUGAGAGGGCGAGGGUGUUGUUUUAAAGCUGGGAGUUCAUCCAGAAACUGCACAGACUUCUGUCCAAGUGUGACUGGGAGUCUACUGGGAGGCCCGACUGGUUGGUACCACAGUGAGCGGACUGUCAAGCACCAUGGCUGACAACGUGAACGAGGAGUCCGAUUAUAUCCCAGGCAAAGAUGAGCUGGACUGGGGAUAUGAGGAAGGUGUAGAGUGGGGACUCCAUUUCCCAGCAGCCAACGGUGAGUACCAGUCUCCCAUUAACUUGAACUCCAGGGAGGCUCAGUAUGACCCAUCCCUCCUGGAUGUCGGCUUAUCUCCAAACUACGUGGUGUGUCGGGACUGUGAGGUUAUCAAUGAUGGACACACUGUUCGCAUCAUCCUCAAGUCCAAAUCAGUGGUUACCGGGGGCCCUUUGCCGAGUGAUCAUGAGUAUGAGCUUCAUGAGGUCCGAUUCCACUGGGGAAAAGAAAACCAGAGAGGAUCAGAGCACACUGUCAACUUCAAGGCUUUCCCUAUGGAGCUCCAUCUGAUCCACUGGAACAGCACACUCUUCAAUACUCUAGAAGACGCACUGGGGAAAAAAAAUGGAGUCCUCAUCAUAGCGCUAUUUGUGCAGAUCGGUAAAGAACAUCUGGGACUAAAGGCCAUCACUGAAGUUCUACAGGACCUGCAGUACAAGGGGAAGAGCAAGAUCAUCCCCUGCUUCAACCCCAACACUCUGUUACCUGACCCGCUGCUGAGAGACUACUGGGUGUAUGAAGGGUCUCUGACGACUCCGCCUUGUAGUGAAAAUGUGACCUGGAUCCUGUACCGUUAUCCUCUGACCAUCUCACAGUUACAGAUCGAGGAGUUUCGGAGGCUGCGGUCCCACUUCAAAGGGGCGGAGCUGCCAGAAGGGAAUGAUGGGAUGUUGGGGGACAACUUCCGUCCCACUCAACCGCUCAGUGAUAGGACGGUCCGUGCUGCCUUCCAGUGACACCAGCUGUCCAUGGACAACCUCCAACAACUUUGGGAUCUAGUGAUACAAGUGUAAAAGGAGAAAAGAAAGAAGAGAGUGGUUGAGUGGAAGCAGAAAGAAGAGAGAACUGAUGUGGUUUUACAGUUGGUCAGCUGCCGACCGGAGGUGGACGAUGAAACGACCGAUCUCUCCACUUUACCAUGUGUUUGUGUGUCUGUAUGUGUACAGUAGGUGUGAUAUGCUUUGCUCUGUUUGUUUAACGCUCUCUGUUGGCCUGAGUGAGUGUGUAUUGUUGGCCACUUUACUCUGUGUGUGUGUGUGUGUGUGUGUGUGUGUGUGUGUGUGUGUGUGUGUGUGUGCGCAUGCGUGUGUGUGUGUGUGUGUGUGUGUGAGCUCUGAUUAGGUGAUAGGAGGCUUUAUAAAUGGCCCAUCGCUGCUGUCACAACAACAGAAAACAUGAACCCCAAACGUACCUGAAUACACACAUUCACAAAACACACAAACACAGACAGGCAAACACACUUACAUCACAUCACAUUCUGUCACUUUUGUAAAGGUUAUCUCUGAAAUGUAAUAGAUUACAUUAAAUAGCCAUUCUGUUAAAAAUGGAAUUGGUUCAAACUAAUGAAACUUGCAUCUGAAUACUUCGAUUAUUUUACAAAGAUACAUUUCAAUAAAAUCUUUAAAGUAUUGUUAUUCCAAACUCUCAAUAACAGGAGGAAGUUGCAUACUAGAAUAUAUAUAUGAGAUUACCAAAACCACCAACAAAUCACUGCUAUGUAUCCACAGACUGUAUCACUCACUGAAUAAAGUAUAAAUCUCAUUGUUUACACACAUCUGUAUUAUGGUAUCAUCAAGUUUUCUUCUUCAAACUAAAACUCAUCUACUUAUUUUGACAAUUACUCAAACUAACACAGUGUCUUCUAUUCAUGUACUGCAUCAGCUGAUAGUUUACAUUAGUAAUAUUAGCUCUGGUUUUAGACUGAAAACAGACACAGUAAAACCAUAAAUCACAUCCAUUUUCUGUACAGUUUGUGUUGUCAGUAGCUGCACUAAAGAUCUGUUUGGAAUCGUACAAACCAGGUCAGAGGUUUAAUCUGAACUGUGGAUCAACAAACAGCAAUUUAGCAAAGAUAAUAACAUCACAUAAUAGCUUUAUACCUUCAUACCCUCAUAAUCAAACUCAUUCAUAUAAAAGAAACGCUGCCGUUUCAGCAUUAAACUCAAUUCUUUUCACCUAGAGCUGUGUCCAGAGGUGAAAACUACUACAGUGCUUCUAGAUUUGAACACUUUCUUUGACUCUAAAAGUUGUUUCUUUGUGAUUCUCACCCCAUCGGGUCACUUUCUGAUACUUCGAUCGAACCUUGUGGUGUUAGUUUUUCUUCAUCAUGGGAAGACGACAGAGUGACUCACUACUCCCUCUAGUGGUCACAUAAAUCUGCCAUACUGUCAGUACAAAGACAUUCAGUUCAUAUCUCAGCAAUCCAGUAUAUUGGUAUCUUUGGCAUAAUUAAAUUUUUACUAAACACUCUAAUGUUCAUUUUAGGUUAUUCUGCAAUACCUGAAAGUGGGGAUACUACAUACAGCCCCUUUAAAACAUAAAUUAAGGCCAGUCUUCUCACUGUUGACUAUGUUGAUCUCACAAGCCUCACACUUUGCAGUUUAUCUCUGAUUUCAGAGGCAAAAUAUUCAAAUACCCAAAUGAGACCCAACCAAAUGUAUUUACAGCAGAAUGACAGUACUUUUAUUGUUCUAGCUGUUUAUGAUAAAGCUUUAUGUCACAAUGAGGGAAUGUAAACAGGAGCAUGAGGUGUAAUAUUAAUCUCUAAUGAUAAAGUACAGAUAGAUUGUUCUGUUGUUUGUUGUUUGAAACUAGUUUUAUGUUGACAUAAAACAGGCCUCAUAACAUGACAUGAACACAUAGUGAUGGUCCCUGUUUGUCCAGACAGCAGUAAUGAUUGCUUUAAUGAGCAAAAUAUAAAGCUGCCAUGUGUAUGAGUCAUUUUCACAAUUUCUGGCUGAUAACGUUCGUCAGUGUGACUUAAGAGUGAGGAUAUGAGACAAACUGCACGUACACUUUUAAUCAUGGAGUAUGGAAGCCGUACAGAUCUAUCAACAUCAGAGGAACACUACACUCAACCCUCUCUUUGUAUUGUCUGAAGGAGCUAUAUGUGUGUGUGUUUGUUAAAGGUACUGUGUCUGAAGAACUGAGCAUAAAUAAAUAAACUGUGAGAACUGACGACUGUUACUGUAAAACAACAAUAAAUUACAACACUGA